CCUACGAGUGGCAGCAGUGGGGAAUAUUGCACAAUGGGGGAAAGCCUGAUGCAGCGACGCCGCGUGCGGGAAGAAGUAUCUCGGUACGGAAAACUCUAUCAGCAGGGAAGAUAAUGACGGUACGUGAACAAGAAGCCCCGGCUAACUACGUGCCAGCAGCCGCGGUAAUACGGACGGGGCAAGCGUUAUCCGGAUUUACUGGGGGUAAAGGGAGCGUAGACGGCAGCACAAGUCGGGAGUGAAAUCCCGGGGCUUAACCCCGGAACUGCUUUGGAAACGGUGCGGCCGGAGUGCAGGAGGGGUAGGCGGAAUGCCUGGUGUAGCGGUGAAAUGCGUAGAUAUUAGGAGGAACACCGGUGGCGAAGGCAGCUUACUGGACUGUAACUGACGUUGAGGCUCGAAAGCGUGGGGAGCAAACAGGAUUAGAUACCCUAGUAGUC
rnacentral:rRNA from 1 species